AUUAGUAAAAUUCUUGUUCCCGGGCCAUGGCCCCGCGUUCACGUGGGUAGCCCCCUCAUUCACGUGACCACUCCCUCCUGGCACAGCCACACUGUGUUCACAUGACUGUGUUAACGUGAAAAUCGUCCCAACCUGUGAAGAAUUUUGGGGUUUAUUUGAGCCAAACUGUCGACACUUGCAGGGAAGCAGGAUCUCAGUGCGUCGGGACAGUGCUCUGGAGAUGGCGGUUUUCACCGUGUUUAAUAAAUCACCGUCAAAGGCAGAGACAUGAGCGGGGCACAUGAAAUCUAUUGGUGAUGAUGAGGGAGGCGGGAGAAAGCAAAGCAGAGACCCUCCUCUGUGGUCACUUCAGGUCUCUGGAGUUGGCAAGGCCUCCAAGCAGGCCUUCCCGGAGGUAGUCAGGAGGAGCAAAUGGGCUUUAGACACGUCUUUCCCCAUCACUGGUCACUGCUGGACACUGUGCCAUCUCACUAGCCAAUGAAAAUGAGAGAUACUAGAAAAUAAAGGCAUAUUUCUAACAAUUGUGGAAGAAUAAUUAAUAACCUGGCUUAAAACAUCAUUUUUUUCCUCUGAGUAUAAAAAUAUUAAAUGUGCCAUUGUAGAAAUUUGUGAAAAGAGAAAUAUAUAAAGCAAAUAUAGGUAUUGUGCUAUAUAUAUAUAUA